rnacentral:lncRNA from 1 species
CACGAAUCAGGCUGAGUCAGUGAUGUCCAGCCUGGGAUCAGCAUGGCGAUCUCCAUGAUCCCCGGACCAAGAUGGAAACAUAGCUGUCAGAAAGGCACAGGAUCAUGGAAAAGCUUUUUAAUGUUCAGCGCAUAUGUGGCCUUGAUAAAGUGAAACAUCACAACUCUGAAGUGAGGUCACACAGACUGAUCUGGACCUCUGACUACAAGGCUUGUCUUCCUCACUUCCACGCUGCACUUGCGUUUCCCAAGAGGCGUCCACAAGACUUCUACACAGUGGGGCUUUCCCCCACUUACCAAAGAAAAUUAGCUCCCUUCUUUACCUACAUCACUUUCUAACACCAGUACAACUUUAUUUGCCUUUGUGACACUUGGCACUCAUUAAACACGGAAUUUAUUUACUCAUCCAACUGCUCGCUCUGCUUUCUCUUUUACUAUUUGAUAGUUUGCGCACACAGCUGAGUGGUUUUCAACCAUCCAGGUGAGGUAGCAAGUACAAAACAAUCACCAGGGAUCAUGCUGUUGUUCAGCCUUGCACCCCAGAAUAUCGUCUGAUACAUAUGUGGCCUGCAGGAAAUAUUUAUUUAGUGAAUCAAUACAUGAUUUUAAAUACAUAACUUUCUACAGAGUGGCUGCUGUUGAUGUGUUUUGUCAGAUAGUUUCUGUAUCUGUCUCCUUCUUUUAGCCUAGUUUCUGUAUCUCUCUCCUUCUUUUAGCCUACUUCUCACUCACCUGUGUUCUUUCAUUUUCCAAAAUAAGUUUAUGCUACUUGAAAUACUUUGAAAAAUUAAAAUUAAACUUAUGCAUCCAAAUUACAAAUGUGUCCGGGUAACUCCUUCAGUUAUAACAAAUGAGCACUACUAAAAAAAAAAAAAAAAAAAAAAAA